GAACGAACGCUGGCGGCGUGCCUAAGACAUGCAAGUCGUGCGAGAAAGGGGCUUCGGCCCUGAGUACAGCGGCGCACGGGUGAGUAACGCGUGGGUAACCUACCUCGAAGUUGGGAAUAACCCGGGGAAACCUGGGCUAAUGCCGGAUGAGCCCACGAGAUCCUUGGAUCAUGUGGGAAAAGGUGGCCUCUGCUUGCAAGCUACCGCUUCGAGACGGGCCCGCGUCCCAUUAGCUAGUUGGUGAGGUGACGGCUCACCAAGGCUCCGAUGGGUAGCUGGUCUGAGAGGACGAUCAGCCACACUGGAACUGAGACACGGUCCAGACUCCUACGGGAGGCAGCAGUCGGGAAUCUUGGGCAAUGGGCGCAAGCCUGACCCAGCGACGCCGCGUGAGGGAUGAAGGCCUUCGGGUCGUAAACCUCUGUCAGGAGGGAAGAAUGUCGACGAGGUGAACAAUCUCGUCGGUUGACGGUACCUCCAAAGGAAGCGCCGGCUAACUCCGUGCCAGCAGCCGCGGUAA
rnacentral:rRNA from 1 species